AGCCAGCUGACAGUCCUGACUUUAUAAACCCAUUGUUAGAAGGUGCUGAUUAUAUAGAUGGUCAACUGUGGGUGGCCGGUAACAGGGUUCUAAUAAACCUCAAUCUCUCACGAAACAAGAUUGGUGAGACAGGCCUUGAGGCCCUACUGAAGGCCAUGCAGUAUCAAACAACAUUGUGUAUGGAAAACAAAAGUACCGGAACAGGGCUUAUGAGAUUAUUAGUCGGGAAGAACAAGGUACGAUCCAGCCAUGAGUUACUACAGAAGAUUACAGAUAUCAUGCUACCUAAAGAUCCUUUCUAUAAACCUCCACCACAGACCCCGGAUGUUACUGAGGCUUAAACACAAAUACAGAUUUAUUUACUUUAAUAUAGUUACAACACCUUAAUUGAAUGAUUUGGAAAAAAUUCUUUGACUGGAUUCCCAGAAAAAAAUCUUUUAUUGGAUUCAAUGGAAAUUUUUUUUUACUGGAUUUUUGGAAAAAAAAAAAUUUUGAUUUCUAAGACUGUUUGAUUGGAUUCCUUGGAAAAGAAGUUCUUUAAUUGCGUUCCUUGGAAAAAUUCUUUUAUUGGAUUCCUUGAAAAAAUUCUUUUACUUGAUUCCUUGGGAAAAUUAUUUUAUUGGAUUCCAUGGAAAAAUUCUUUCAUUGGAUUCCUUAAAAUAUUUUGACUGGAUUCUGUAGAAAAAUUCUUUGAAGUCAUAAUUCUUUGAAAAUUUUAAAAGAUUUUGAAAAAUAAAGAUAGUGUAUGAACUGGAAAAUGAAACAGCUAUCUUCUGAUAUCGUUAAACGUGUUUAUGAAUGUGAUAACAAAAACUGUGAUUUUUAGAUAUAAUAAAUCAGUGCAGAAUUUUGUCAUAAUUUGUUCUAUGCUGAAUUUAAGGUCAACAUUAAAACAUGAUAUAUUAGUAAUACUUAUAUCAAUAUAUAUAUGUGUUAAAUAAACAAAGUUAUUAUAAAAUGUGCUAAAAUGUUAAAUGUAAAAGCCUAUAGCUAUAACUUGGCUUUUAAAUUAUUUUAGAAGUUUAGUCAACAUUAACACAUAUAAUACUAGUAUAAAGCCUAACAUUGUUGAAAUGUGUGAAAUUUGAACGGAAAAGUGUAUAUCUUAUAAAGGUUACUUUCUGUUAAAUGUUAGAUAAUAAUUCUAGGAUAAUGAAUAUGCAACUUAUUGAAAUAAUGUUGUCUUUUAUGUAAUAAACUUUAAAACACUCGCAUUAACAUUUAUAGAAAAGUUUUUUGUUAUUUUUUUUAAAACGUCCAUAUUUUCUGUGAUAAUGUUUGUUUCUUAUGUUCAGAGUUAUUUAUAUAUGUACAUGUUU